rnacentral:lncRNA from 1 species
AGGCAGUGGUUUUAAUGAACGAAUGAGAUAUCCCCAGCACCACCACUUCCCAUCCAGCAGAAUCCAAGCUGUAGAAGAUAAGAGCAGUCAUAACCUGAAUGCUGGCUUUCACCUCGUGAUUCGUGCCCGCGUUCCACAGCCCUUAGUUCUUUCUGUGCUUCGGAACCUUCUGUCCACAGUUCCUGGGUGGGAUGUGGGAUGCAAAGGCAACAGGGGAAGCGGAGUUCUCAAAGGGUUCCCCAUACCUGAGAAGGACAAGUUCCAACCUGCCCCACUCUCCCCCCACUGUGUAGCGAAGGACUGUGCUCAUCGCUUUCCUUUUUUUCCCCACUUGACAUCCACAAAGCAAUAAUGAUGUAACAUUUCCCAAAGAAAUCCCGUAGCGACAGCCAUCCUUCAGUGGCUCCAGGUAGCAAAACACAAGUCAAAGAGCUUUCUCCGUCUCCCAGUGUAAGUGAAAUCUCUCGUUCCAGAUCUGCAAAGCCGAAAUCUCCCCUCUGUUUCGGAGCACCGCGGGCGCGGCGGCUCACGUUUUGGGGCAGAACAGUUUCGUGAUGAGGUUCAGGACUUUCUGCUGCAGGUCCGCCUUGUCUCCGAUCCUGCGCAGCUCCAGCGCGCACUCAGCCACCGCGUCCCGCUCUGCAAAACACGCGCAGGGAGAUGGGCAUUUAAUUCUAACGAGGUCUUUUCCAGGUAGCGGUGUCGGGGAAAGAAAGAAGAAGGUAAAGAAGAAAAAGGAAAAGAAAAAGGACAAAGCGUGUUUUUUUUCCUGUAUCAGCCGCCCCCCCCAAAAUUGAGACCUGUCUCCUUUUCGCCUCUCCCUACCUGCAGGCGCGGCGGGCGGCGCAGGUUUGCGAAUCGUCCUGCCGGGCAUCAUCGCGGCAACAGCUCGGCACGGUUCGGCACGGUUCGGCUCAGCACUGCUCCGCUCAGCGCGGGUCGGCGGCGGCGAGCGACUGCGGGCAGGCGGGGCGAAGCGCGCCCUAAGAGCGGAGCGCGGAGGGGUUUUCCCUCUUUGUGACGUAAGAACAGCGCGGGAAUCCCUCCCCCCCCGUGGCGGGAGCGUGUCGGAGCGCGCCCGGGCCGGUGGCGGUGCGCCGAAAUAAAGUGGGCACCUGAAGAUUGAAGGAUUGUGCAGCUGGGAAGGGAGAAUCCCGAGAUGCUGUGCAUGGAGCCAUGCCAGUGUCAGACAUUGUGGUCAGAGCAGCACUGGGGAUCAAGAGCAGCGCGUGACCAACCUGCAGCAUGACUAAUGCCAGUGGGCAGAUGUGAUGAAAGGAAAACGAAUGCUGAAGAAACGAAAACAAGAGCAGGAGUGAAAGGAAAGCGAAGUUUUUUUCCUCUGAACUCUAAUGCUUGUGCUGAAUCAGCUUCAAGCAGCGCCUCUGUAUAAAAUUAAAUAAAUCAUCA